rnacentral:lncRNA from 1 species
GAGGGGGGGGGCCGGGCUGGUGCGUGGCAGCCCCGUGCUUCGGGGCUUAUCCCCGGCUCUGUUCUGCUGCUGUUGCUCGCCCUCCGCUAGCAGCCGGAAAAAAAACCUUCCCUCAUUACUAUAUCAACAAAUCCCCGGGUAGACGGCACGUGUUUAAUCACCUUCCUUCCUCGCGGAGCGGUGUGCAGUGCCGCGUGAGGAGGCUGCCUUACAAAAGCAGGGAACUUCCAGAAGGAGCAUAUCAACACCUGGAAUCUCUGGUCUGGUUUCACAGCUGCAAAGAGGAUAUCUGCAUGUGCAGGCUGCUGCUCUUGAUUGUAUUGGAGGCUGGAGCUAGCAUGACUUCACAAAAUCAUAGAUCCCUUGUCCCCUUUGUGCCCUCUGUUCCGGUGGAAAGCCCAGAGCCUCCAGUUUGUAACAAACAUUGGGCAGAGGAAUGUGCUUUAAGUUCAGUUGUGACCUUCCCUGCAAUCUAAUGUGCGAUCACUGCAAACACAAGAGGAUGGGGUGGAAAAACAGCAUUCACUGAUAGCCAAUGACAAUUGUGAUGGUAAUAAAACUGGAAGCAACUAAGGAAGGUGCUGUUUGCAACAAGGCAGCAGCACAGCUGGCUCUUCAGCAGGAGACCUGCACUCUGACAGCAGGGGGAUGGCAGCAUGGAUACAGCAUGUGGGUUGUGCCUUUCUUCAUCCUGGUAUUCCAGCAGGAUGACAAACUGCAGUCACAAGGCACUGAAAUGAAUGGAGCAAAAGGAAGUGGGCAACUGCCUUGCAUAAUAUUUUGGAGUUAUAAUAAGCAAGUUCUUGAGGAAAAAGAU